rnacentral:rRNA from 1 species
UACAGAGGGUGCAAGCGUUAAUCGGAAUUACUGGGCGUAAAGCGCGCGUAGGUGGUUUGUUAAGUUGGAUGUGAAAUCCCCGGGCUCAACCUGGGAACUGCAUUCAAAACUGACAAGCUAGAGUAUGGUAGAGGGGGAUGGAAUUCCGCGUGUAGCAGUGAAAUGCGUAGAUAUGCGGAGGAACACCGAUGGCGAAGGCAAUCCCCUGGACCUGUACUGACGCUCAUGCACGAAAGCGUGGGGAGCAAACAGG